rnacentral:rRNA from 1 species
UACGUAGGACCCAAGCGUUAUCCGGAUUUACUGGGUGUAAAGAGUUGCGUAGGCGGCUCGUAAAGUGAAUAGUGAAGCUGGUCGCUCAACGAUCAAAACAUUAUUCAAACUCACGAGCUCGAGAGUGAUAGAGGUUACUGGAAUUUCUUGUGUAGGAGUGAAAUCCGUAGAUAUAAGAAGGAACACCAAUGGCGUAGGCAGGUAACUAGAUCAUUUCUGACGCUCAGGCACGAAAGCGUGGGGAGCGAACCGG